rnacentral:rRNA from 1 species
GGUACCUACGGGGCGCAGCAGUGAGGAAUAUUGGUCAAUGGGCGCAAGCCUGAACCAGCCAAGUCGCGUGAGGGAUGACGGUCCUAUGGAUUGUAAACCUCUUUUGUCGGGGAGCAAGGCCCGCCACGUGUGGCGGGGAGGAGAGUACCCGAAGAAAAAGCAUCGGCUAACUCCGUGCCAGCAGCCGCGGUAAUACGGAGGAUGCGAGCGUUAUCCGGGUUUAUUGGGUUUAAAGGGUGCGGAGGCGGCAGGGUAAGUAAGCUGUCACAUGUCGUUGCUCAACACCGGCCUGCAGGUGAAACUGG